CGAUGAUGAUUAUAGUAAUGAGUCGGAAGAAAUUUGGAUGAACUUUAUUGUGUUCAUCAACAAUAAAUAAUUUACUAAUCAAAAGACAGUGUUUUGGAAGACUUAUCUGUGAAGAAGCUCUGAAGGUCUCUGAUGGUGAGCUCGCAUGCGUACGGAGACAUCCCCCUUAACCAUGCUGUCCAUUUAGCAGCUAGAGGGACUAAUCUCUUGAACGAUAUAAAAAUCUGCCACUGCAAAGUAUCUU